CCUACGGGUGGCAGCAGUGAGGAAUAUUGGUCAAUGGGCGCGAGCCUGAACCAGCCAAGUAGCGUGAGGGAAGACUGCCCUAUGGGUUGUAAACCUCUUUUAUACGGGAAUAAUAUGCCUUACGUGUACGCUUUUGCCUGUACCUUAUGAAUAAGCAUCGGCUAACUCCGUGCCAACAGCCGCGGUAAUACGGAGGAUCCGAGCGUUAUCCGGAUUUAUUGGGUUUAAAGGGUGCGUAGGGGGCGUGUUAAGUAAGUGGUAAAAUUUGGGGGCUAAACCGAGAAUUGCCAUUGAAACUGGCGGGCUAGAGUACAGUCGAGGUAGGCGGAAUGCGUGGGGUAGCGGUGAAAUGCUUAGAUAUGACGUAGAACUCCGAUCGCGAAGGCAGCUUAC
rnacentral:rRNA from 1 species